rnacentral:rRNA from 1 species
AACGAACGCUGGCGGCAUGCCUAACACAUGCAAGUCGAACGAAGCCUUCGGGCUUAGUGGCGCACGGGUGCGUAACACGUGGGAAUCUGCCCUUGGUUCGGAAUAACAGUUAGAAAUGACUGCUAAUACCGGAUGAUGACGAAAGUCCAAAGAUUUAUCGCCGAAGGAUGAGCCCGCGUAGGAUUAGGUAGUUGGUAGGGUAAUGGCCUACCAAGCCGACGAUCCUUAGCUGGUCUGAGAGGAUGAUCAGCCACACUGGGACUGAGACACGGCCCAGACUCCUACGGGAGGCAGCAGUGGGGAAUAUUGGACAAUGGGCGAAAGCCUGAGUCCAGCAAUGCCGCGUGAGUGAUGAAGGCCUUAGGGUUGUAAAGCUCUUUUACCAGGGA